CAACUCUCAAGUUUACUUGGUCAUGGGGAUCGUGCCGCCCGGCGGCGCGUCCCUCAAACGCAACUCGACGUGCCUUGUCAGCGGAGCGCAGUAGAAUGCUGCUCCGUGAGGCGCCACCCGGGCUCUUCGGAGACCACCG
rnacentral:misc_RNA from 1 species